rnacentral:rRNA from 1 species
GGGGAGGGGGAGCCUCCUAAUACAUGCAAGUCGCGCGGACUUCUUCGGAAGUCAGCGGCGGACGGGUGAGUAACACGUGGGCAAUCUGUUCUUUAAACUGGAAUAACGCCUGGAAACGGGUGCUAAUGCCAGAUAGAGCAACGGAACAGGCAUCUGUUUGUUGGGAGAGGUGCUACGGCAUCGCUAAGAGAGGAGCCCGCGGCGCAUUAGCUAGUUGGUGGGGUAACGGCCUACCAAGGCGACGAUGCGUAGCCGACCUGAGAGGGUGACCGGCCACGCUGGGACUGAGACACGGCCCACACUCCUACGGGAGGCAGCUUAGUAGGGAAAAAUCUUUUCUCGCGCACAAAUGGGCGCCAAAGCCUUGACCGAAGACACAACCCCCGCGUUUGUGUAGACACAAAAAAAAGCCCUUUCGGGGUGUUAAAAACUCCAUUUCACUUUCUCGGGAAGAGGAGACCCCAGGGGAGGGGAAAACCCCUUGGAGAGGAACGGUAUCCCGGGAGAGGAAAGGACCCCGGCUAAAUACUGUGCCAGCAGCCGCCGGUAAUAAUGUAGGGGGCAAAAGUUGUCUCGGAAUCACUGGGCGUAAAGAGUGCGUAGGCGGUUUGUUAAGUCUGAAGUGAAAAAGCCACGGCUCAACCAUGGGAAUGCUUUGGAAAAUGGCAGACUUGAGUACUGGAGAGGCAAGGGGAAUUCCACGUGUAGCGGUGAAAUGCGUAGAGAUGUGGAGGAAUACCAGUGGCGAAGGCGCCUUGCUGGACACUGACUGACGCUGAGGCACGAAAGCGUGGGGAACAAACUAGAGUUAGAUACCCUGGGAAGUGCCACGCCCGUAAAAGAUUGAGUGCUAGUGUGUUGGAACGCUCACACAUUUCACCUGCCAAAAAAAAACCAAAUAAGCACUCGCGCCGUGGAGAAAGUACGGUCCCAAGACUCGAAACCUCAAAUGGUUAACUUGAUCGCGGGCGCCCUGCACAAAGCACUUGGAGGCAUGUGGUGUUAAUCUCACCUCCGGACAACAACGAAAAAAAGAAAACUCUUGAGCCAGUGUGCUUUGACUAUUCCCGCCCCAGGACCGGUGAAGAAAAAAAAAUUACACCUGUUCCCCCCUCCCCUCUGGGGCAGAGGAGACAGGUGGUGCAUGGUUGUCGUCAGCUCGUGUCGUGAGAUGUUGGGUUAAGUCCCGCAACGAGCGCAAACCCUGACCUGUGUUUCCAGCACGUAAUGGGGGGGACUCACAGGUGACUGCCGGGGUAAGUCGGAGGAAAGUGGGGAUGACGUCAAAUCAUCUUGCCCCUUAUGUCCUGGGCAACACACGUGCUACAAAGGGGGGAACAACGGGAAACGAGACCCCGAGGUGGAGCGAACCCCUGAAAACCGUUUGUAGUUUGGAUUGCCGGCUGCAACCCGCCUGCAUGAAGCCGGAAUUGCUAGUAAUCGCGGAUCAGCAUGCCGCGGUGAAUCCGUUUCCCGGGCCUUGUUCCCACCGCCCGUCACACCCCGAGAGUUGGCAACCCCCGAAGUUCGGUGGAGUAACCUUAUAGGCCAGCCGCCGAAGGUGUUUCGGG